ensembl:lncRNA LINC01864 long intergenic non-protein coding RNA 1864
CGCAGGCACUGCUGACGGUGGGACCGGCCACUUCCACAUCGGGGUCCCGCCUGUGGGCUGUAGGGUGUUCAGUGACGUCCCUGCUUUUACCUGCCAGGUGCCUUCCCUCCCGCAGUUGUGACAACCAAGAAAGUCUUCAGACACAGCCGGAUGUUACCCGGGGCACCAGCCUGAGACCCGCUGGUCCACGGGAAGCAGGGAGCCCUCCCUCACCAGCACACCCAGCGGCCUCCCCUUCCCCUCGCCGGACGCGACUGGCUCACAGGAAAUCCGUGUCAGCCCUGCUCAGAAGGACCACGACUUCAUUUCACAGACACUGCAGUUCUCAAGAAUCCAGGUGGUGGCAGCAGAGAGCUGAGAGAAACCAGCACUUCCCUACCGGCCCUAAGGAAGGUCCGGAAUAAGAAUAUUGACCUUGCCCAGUUGCAGUGAGCAUUUCUGUAUUGCACCAGUCACAGUGGCGAAUGCAGCUAAGGAGAGGCAGGUAGAUGGAGCCACAGAACCAGAUGUGGUCUGGGCAGUGUUUCAUCCCACCAGGAAUGACAGUGCAUCUGCAGCUCCCAGAGGGCUCUCUGACACCCUACCUCCAACUGUGAGCAAUCAUCUUUACCUCCUCAUCCAGAGGAAGGAGGCCAGCGGGAUGCAGAGCCUCAGCAGCUUCAGCCCAGGCUCAGGGCUGAAGUGGAGAAGCAUCCAGGCCAGUUCUGGCAUUGGUGGAACCAGCUGGGCCGGGGGUUGCCCCAGGUAAAAGGAACAGGACCCAUCACUGAGACCACAGGACAGAGAACACUGAGAAUAUAGACUCAGACACAAAAUAGGACUUACUUUCCGGCUCCCUGAAAGCUGGGCAUGGCCAUGUGCCUUGCUGUGGGGGAUGAACCCAGAGCAGAAGAAGUGUGUGUCGCUUCUGGCUGGAGACUUCAAGAGCAGUACACGAUUUGCCAAGUCUCUCUGCCUGGCCACGGCAAAUGAUCUUGCACCACAUGGUCGCGCUGGAGUCUCUGUGAAUCGGCUGUGAUUCUGGGGGCUGCGUGAUUCGCGAAUCAUUCAUUGCUCCAUUAAACUCCUUUAAAUUUAAUUCGGCUGAAGUUUUUCUUUUAUCAGAGAGGAGACAUGUGAGACAUGUUCCUUCUCUCUCUGCCCAAUUUUCCUGUUUUCCUUCCCAGGAGGACACAGGGAGAAGGCCACCGUCCGCACGCUGGGAAGCAGCCCUCACCAGACACCAGACAUGCCAGCACCCUGAUCUUGGACUUCCAUCCUCCAGAACUGUGAGAAAUUAGUGUCUGUUGUUUAAGACACACACACUACGUAUUCUCUUAGAGCAGCCUGAACAGACUAAGCAGGGGUGUCCAAGGUAGAGAAUACAGUCAUAGGUUCUCAGUUUCUGUUUGCGGUUGGACCAGUAAAGACCCUUCCUCAUCCCUCUUUUCCACUUAUCACUAGAGACAGAAACUAAAAUCCAUGAUUUCAGGCUGCUAAAAGCCUAAAACAGAACAGCAACAAAAUAAGGUGGGUUGGACGAGCUUGGUCUACAGCAGUAUGUUUUAUUUGGUUCUCAUGGAGGUAUUCCACUGUUUUUCUUUCAACAUACUGUUGCUGGCUUGAAUCAUGGAGAUAUUAAGGAAGAAAGUCUAAUAAUUAUGAUGUUACAUGUUACUAAA